rnacentral:rRNA from 1 species
GGAGUUAGCCGGUGCUUCUUCUGUGAGUGAUGUCCUUCCUGCCGGCUAUUAACCCGCAGGCCUUCUUCCUCACUGAAAGUGCUUUACAACCCGAAGGCCUUCUUCACACACGCGGCAUGGCUGGAUCAGGGUUGCCCCCAUUGUCCAAUAUUCCCCACUGCUGCCUCCCGUAGGAGUCUGGGCCGUGUCUCAGUCCCAGUGUGGCUGAUCAUCCUCUCAGACCAGCUACGGAUCGUCGCCUUGGUGAGCCGUUACCUCACCAACCAGCUAAUCCGACAUAGGCUCAUCCGAUAGCGCGAGGCCCGAAGGUCCCCCGCUUUCCCCCGUAGGGCGUAUGCGGUAUUAGCCUGGGUUUCCCCAGGUUAUCCCCCACUACCGGGCAGAUUCCUAUGCAUUACUCACCCGUCCGCCGCUCGCCACCAGGGAGCAAGCUACCCGUGCUGCCGCUCGACUUGCAUGUGUUAGGCCUGCCGCCAGCGUUCAAUCUGAGCCAGAAUCGAACCCUGA